rfam:Chelonia mydas contig87166, whole genome shotgun sequence.
GGGGAUGUAGCUCAGUGGUAGAGCGUAUGCUUUGCAUGUAUGAGGCCCUGGGUUCAAUCCCCAGCAUCUCCA